rnacentral:rRNA from 1 species
AACGAACGCUGGCGGCAGGCUUAACACAUGCAAGUCGAACGCCCCGCAAGGGGAGUGGCAGACGGGUGAGUAACGCGUGGGAAUCUACCCAUCCAUACGGAACAACUCCGGGAAACUGGAGCUAAUACCGUAUACGCCCUUAGGGGGACAGAUUUAUCGGGGAUGGAUGAGCCCGCGUUGGAUUAGCUAGUUGGUGGGGUAAAGGCCUACCAAGGCGACGAUCCAUAGCUGGUCUGAGAGGAUGAUCAGCCACAUUGGGACUGAGACACGGCCCAAACUCCUACGGGAGGCAGCAGUGGGGAAUAUUGGACAAUGGGCACAAGCCUGAUCCAGCCAUGCCGCGUGAGUGAUGAAGGCCUUAGGGUUGUAAAGCUCUUUCACCGAUGAAGAUAAUGACGGUAGUCGGAGAAGAAGCCCCGGCUAACUUCGUGCCAGCGGCCGCCGUAAAAC